rnacentral:rRNA from 1 species
AUACGGAGGGUGCAAGCGUUACUCGGAAUCACUGGGCGUAAAGCGCGCGCAGGCGGCCAUUUAAGUUGGAUGUGAAAGCCUACGGCUCAACCGUAGAACUGCAUCCAAAACUAUUUGGCUAGAGUGUGGGAGAGGAAGAUGGAAUUAGUUGUGUAGGGGUAAAAUCCGUAGAGAUAACUAGGAAUACCAAAAGCGAAGGCAAUCUUCUGGAACCGUACUGACGCUGAGGCGCGAAAGCGUGGGGAGCAAACAGGAUUAGAAACCCGGGUAGUCC